UUCGACUAAGCCAUGCGAGUUCAGGGGGGCUUUGCCCACCGGCGGACGGCUCAGUAACACGUGGACAACCUGCCCUCGGGAGGGGGAUAACCCCUGGAAACCGGGACUAAACCCCCAUAGGUCACAGAUGCUGGAAGGCGCUGUGGCUCAAAUCCCUUCGGGAGCCCGAGGAUGGGUCUGCGGCCUGUCAGGUUGUAGUUAGGGUAACGGCCUAACUAGCCUACGACGGGUACGGGGUGUGAGAGCACUAGCCCGGAGAUGGACUCUGAGACACGAGUCCAGGCCCUACGGGGCGCAGCAGGCGCGAAACCUUCGCAAUGCAGGAAACUGCGACGAGGGAACUCCAAGUGCCUACGCUCAGCGUAGGCUGUUCUCAAGCCUAGAGAGCUCGAGGAGUAAGGGCUGGGUAAGACGGGUGCCAUCUGUGACGGAGUCAAAGAUUUGACUUGCGUACAAGGCAUAAGCCGCCGCGGUAAUACCCGCAGCCCAAGUGGUGGCCGCUUUUAUUGGGCCUAAAGCGUCCGUAGCCGGCCCGGUAAAUGCCUGGGUAAAUCGUGGAGCCCAACUUCACGAAUUCCGGGUAGACUGCCGAGCUCGGGACCGGAAGAGGGAGAGGGUACUUCAGGGGUAGGGGUGAAAUCAGCAGAGCAUCACUCUGAUGAUGUGAAUUGCUCUGCAAGUCACAAUCCUGUAAUCCCUGGAGGACCACCCGUGGCGAAGGCGCUCUCCUAAGACGGGCCCGACGGUGAGGGACGAAAGCCAGGGGAGCAAACCGGAUUAGAUACCCGGGUAGUCCUGGCCGUAAACGAUGUGGACUUGGCAUUCGGGUGGCCAUGAGCUGUCCGAGUGCCGUAGGGAAGCCGUUAAGUCCACCGCCUGGGGAGUACGGUCGCAAGGCUGAAACUUAAAGGAAUUGGCGGGGGAGCA
rnacentral:rRNA from 1 species